rnacentral:rRNA from 1 species
UAAGGAAUUUUGCGCAAUGGGCGAAAGCCUGACGCAGCAACGCCGCGUGAGGGAUGAAGGCCUUCGGGUCGUAAACCUCUGUCGGGAGGAAAGAAAAGCUGGGCGGUAAACAAUCGCUCAGCCUGACGGUACCUCCAAAGGAAGCACCGGCUAACUCCGUGCCAGCAGCCGCGGUAAUACGGAGGGUGCAAGCGUUGUUCGGAAUUACUGGGCGUAAAGCGCGUGUAGGCGGCUUGGCAAGUCGGUUGUGAAAUCCCCGGGCUUAACCCGGGAACUGCAAUCGAAACUACCUAGCUAGAGUCUCGGAGAGGAAGGCAGAAUUCCCAGUGUAGGGGUGAAAUCCGUAGAUACUGGGAGGAAUACCGGUAGCGAAGGCGGCCUUCUGGACGAUGACUGACGCUCAGACGCGAAAGCGUGGGGAGCAAACAGGAUUAGAUACCCCGGUAGUCC